AUUAGGCCAUGUGAAAAUGUGUGUGGGAAGUAGUCAUAUGUCCAGAUCAUGCAGGACCCUGAAGAUAACAGAAAGGGCUCUUCAUUCUGUUAUUUUCAGUAAGAUGGAAGAGAAUUUGGGGGUUAAAGGAGGGAAAAUAGAGAAGAGUAAGAAAAAGUGAUGGAGGAAGGAAGAGGAAAAGAAGGAAGGAUCCAAAGAUGCAAAUGAGAAUGGAUGGAUUUACUUGGCACGUAGCAGGGGACAGUCUGUGGAAAGAGGUGAGAAGGAUAAUCCAAUAGCAAAAGUGAGGCGUGAUGAAGAGUGAAAGGUACAUAGAUUUUGUCUCCUUUUUGCCCUUUUGCCAUGUGAGGAUGCCACCAUGAGGAGACACCAUGGAUGGACAGCAGGCCCUCACCAAACACCAAAUCUUCUGGCACCUUGGUCUUGGACAUCCUGGACUUUGGAACUGUUUCUGCAGAUACUUUUUACAUUGCAGAAUAAAUAAGACAGCCUGUUGGAACACCCAUAUAGUAUGGAACUGAGGGCAGCCUCAAAAGUGGCCACCAGCUGAUAGCAAAGAGCCAAAAGGAAGCCAGAGCCUCAGUCCUACAACUGCAAAAAAUAUAUUUCUGCCAACAACCUGAGUGACGUUGGAAAUGGACUCUUCUCCAGGCAUUCACAACUGCUAAUCAUGAAUACAUCUCAAGAAAGAAGUGAUUGUCGAUAAUUAUCCCCUAAAUCCCACCUCAUGCAAUACCAAAAAUGAUAGGCAGAGAGGGGCAGAUGACUUCCUCUUUGCUUGGUCUGUAAGCACAACGCAUCUCCAAACCAUCCUCUGCUUAGACUUCCCAGGAAGCCUUCAGUGAUUCUAAAUCAGACACAUCAAUGCUCCACUUGAAUACCUUCAAGUGCCUCACAGUGUUCUUAGGAUGAGGAACAGAUGAUGACUUGAGGCCCUGCAGGAUUUGGUUGUGCCAACCUCUGACCUCAACCCCUCUCCCUCCCUCUUCUCCUUGUGUUCCGACCCACAGUUCUUUCUGGUUCUCCAACACACCAGGUUCCCUUUCCCUGGGGUCCUUUGCACUUGGUGACCCUCCUGUCCAGAAUGUUCCACUCCAGACCUCUGAAUGUCUGGAUUUUUCUUAACAUUGAGCCAGAGGAAGACCUACCAGACCAUCCAACCUCAAUUACUCCCUCCUCACCUGUCACCCUCCAUCCAUCACAGCACCUGAUUUAUUUUCUUUAAGUCACUUACCCUUCUCUGAGAUCAUUCAUUUAUUCAUUUUCUUAUUUCUAUCCAUUUUUCCUGGCUAGAAUGUAAGUUCUGCAAGAGAGGGAUAUUUCAAAUAUAGGUGAUUGAUUUAUCUGUAGUGCUAAGAUUGCCUGGCACAUAGUAGGUGCUUCGUAAAUUAAUCAGAGCAUGAAUAAAUAAAUGCACAUUUUGUUAUCUAGGGCAAAGGAGACUCAUAUCUUGCCAUCCCCCAAAGGAGACUCAUAUCUUGCCAUCCCCCGAUGGUUUAGCCAAGCUACAAAAUGACCAGAAUUUCUACUUUGAUUCACCUUCCAGUUGCUGAAUUGUAAUUCCCAAAAUUCACAGCCAAGCACUAUCAGGUGACCACAGACUCCAAAAGGUAUCAUAAAUUGCUUCAUAUGUGUUCUUCUGGGGCUUAGGCAAUGAACUUGAUAUUUACUGUUUGGCAAAGUCUUUCUGUUUUACUUUGUUGGUAGGUGUAAGUUGAUUUUUGCAGCCAAAAACACCUCUUUCUGGCUGGCUUCCCUGUUUUUCCUCCUUUUACUAGCAUACCCUGGAGUAGUAUAACCAAGCUGAGGUGAGUUAUGUGCAGGGAAAUGGGCCUUAAUGAAUAGAAAAUCCAUGGAAUUCAUUUGAUGUUAGCACAUUAACACUCUCUUUGCCAAGUCUUCCAAAUUUCAACUUUUCUGCACAAAAAAAUAAAAAUAUUGGAGGAAGGUAUAUCUCUUUUAAGACCAUGAUCUUGGAAUUACAUAAGCAAUUCUAUACCCUUUUUUGUAGUGAAACGUGCUCAAAAGCAGUCAACCAUCAUCAACAAACCCCAGACUCAAAUGUCAACAAGCCCCAUCAGCAUAAUAUAUUGGCAGGGGCUUGGUCCAUGACGUCAGGUAUACUAGGUGCUGUGGCUUAUUGGCUGUGGAUCUGGGGCAAGGAACUUAGCCUUCCUAAGUCUCAGGUUCCUCAUCUGUAAAUUCAGGGCAAUAAUAGCACCUGUGUCGUAUCAUUAACCAUUGUUAAGAUGAAAUAAAAUAGAUGUCAGGUGCCUAGCUUAUUACUAGCAUGGAGUAACCAUUCUAUGCAUGUUAGCUGAAAACUAAAUAAAUUAACUAAAUAAGUGUCAUUCCCCUGUCCCUCCUUUUUAGAUUUCAUUUCCCUACCAUGCUCUUCCAUGCUAUGCUCUCCUUCAAGAAUGCUGAAUGAUGGGAUCGAUUUGGAGAGAAAAAUAGGCCCAGUUACAAUUGGGGUCCAGCCUGGAGCUAUCAUUUUCAUAUCAGAAAUUCCCUGAUAUACUGUAGAACAUAGUCUCUCACCCACCAAAUAGAGAUAAUAGUAUACCCUGCAGGCUGAAUAUGGAGUCGAAUUAUUCUCACGAGUCUGUUUCCUGCAAGAUCUUUUGCCAGGCCCUGGACAUAUUACAUUAAAAAAGACAUGGGCCCACCCCCACGGAUCCCACAGACUCACUUCAAAUCUCAAUUCUGUCUCUGCCUGGCAAAAAUGUGAGCCAGUCACUGGGCUUGCUGAGCCUCGGCUUUGUCCUUUAGAAACGGAUAUCUGGCCUCCUACACCCUCUGUGCUGAAUGGGACUUCAAUAAGAUAAAGCAUUUCUAGUGGUCAGAAUCCAACUCUGGAUAACUUAAGCAGGAAGGUAUUUUUAGAAGUUUAUCAGGUUACUCAAACUACCAACCCAAAGGCUGGAAAACACACAGUAUCCAAGGGCCCCACAGCUACUGGCAAAAGGAACGCCUGCAGAGAACGUAGUCACUGCUAGAUACCAAGGCCCUCACCAGAGAAAGUUGCAGCCACCGCCAUGAAUAAUUGAUUCCCUCCAAAUUUACAUCCUGGCUCACAACCCAAAGGCCCAGAGAGGAACAUCCAGUUGUCUGAGCCUAGAUCAUGAGUCCACUCUCCAGCUGCCAGGGGUUGGGGAGAGGGAAAUCGAGACACCGUCAGUUUCCAAAGUGGGAGGCAAGCACUGCCUUCCUCCAUCCCCCAGGUUGAAGGAUUAUGUGGGUGCUGAGCAGUCCCCCAAUGCCAAAUACCCACUGAAGGAUAUGAAAGUACUUUGCACACCACGGAUAGCUGUGUCUUUCUGAAUAAUGCUGACUAGGCAGAGUUCAACCACCUAUGAGUAGGGCUAAUGAGAACUACAGACCUAAGGAGCACGUUCAUUGUGCUUUAAAAGAAAGAAGAAUGAAUUAUCCAUACUCAAAAGAGAUUUACUGUAAGAGCCCACGGGCAUUUCCUAGAAAAAUUCCAAUAGUUUCAUGCUGUUAGGACAAGGCAUUUGUGUAACUUCUACAGGGGAAAUGGCUUAGUGCUUUAUUCACUAAUAUCAACCUGUCAUCUCGUUACUAUUGAUCAGCACUGGCUGGCCACCGGCAUGUUGGGAGGGAGCUGGUUCCUCAAAGGUCGGCCCUGACCUGAAAAUCCUCCUGCCCAGUGCCAGGUACUUUCUGAGAGCUCCAGAAUAUUCUCCAGCCAAUGGUGUCUUCCCCUAUAGCCUCCUCUGCCUCAGAGGAUGAAAAAAAAAAAAAAAAAAAAAAA
rnacentral:lncRNA from 1 species